ensembl:lncRNA
GCCUGUGGUAGACUGAUUCUCCGAGACUUGAAGUAGUUCAGACAUUUGAUCUGAGGGAGAAACUGAUAGCAGCAGAAGGUUGCCAUCCAAUCCUUGGACCAGUGAGAAGAUGAAGGUGACAGCACAGCCAAUGGGUUCAGUGAAUGUCAGCGAAGCAGCUGGCCCCAUCCUAAAUGCUAAUAUCAGACAAAAGGUACCUGCAAAGCAACACUGAUGGAAAAAUCCCUAUGAAAAAUAAAAUCCUAUAACAAAUAGAUUUGCUUCCCACUUGAAAUACAGUGAAAAUGUUGCAUUAGCAAGUAAGCUAGUGGCUUACAAAUAUG